rfam:Nosema bombycis CQ1 unplaced genomic scaffold NBO_418, whole genome shotgun sequence.
GGACGCAUAGCUCAACGGUAGAGCGUCGGUCUACGGAACCGAAGGCUGGGGGUUCGAAUCCCCCUGUGUUCG